rnacentral:rRNA from 1 species
UACGUAGGCAGCAAGCGUUGUUCGGAGUUACUGGGCGUAAAGGGUGCGUAGGCGGUCCUAUAAGUAUGGUGUGAAAUCUCCCGGCUUAACUGGAAGGGUGCGCUAUAGACUGUGGGACUAGAGUGUGGGAGAGGAAAGUGGAAUUCCUGGUGUAGCGGUGAAAUGCGUAGAUAUCAGGAGGAACACCGGUGGUGUAAACGGCUUUCUGGACCAUAACUGACGCUGAGGCACGAAAGCGUGGGUAGCAAACGGG